ACAUGGUCUUUUGUUCAUAUAAAAGAUCUGGCCUGCCCAAUGAUUUUUUAAUGGCUGCAGUAUUUUGACUGUACAAAGGUAGCAUAAUCAUUUGUCUCUUAAUUGGAGUCUGGAAUGAAUGGUCGGAUGAGGGGUUUACUUUCUUUAUUUUAAGUAUAAAAUUUAAUUUUUAAAUCAGAAAGUUUAAAUAUUAAUAUAGGACGAGAAGACCCUAUAGAACUUUAUUUAUAAUAAGUAUUUAUUAUCUUGUAAAUUAUAAAUAUAUAUUUUCAUAUAAAUUUUAUUGGGGUGAUAAAAAAAAUUUUUUAACUUUUUUUAAUUUUUUCAUUUGUAUAUGUAUUUUUGAUCCUUUAUUAAGGAAUAAAAGAAUAAGUUACCUUAGGGAUAACAGCGUUAUUAUUUUAGAGAGUUCAUAUUGAUAAAAUAGUUUGCGACCUCGAUGUUGGAUUAAAAUUAGCUUCAGGGGCAGAAUAUUGGUGGCUAAGUCUGUUCGACUUUUAAAUUUUUACAUGAUCU
rnacentral:rRNA from 1 species